CGAUAACAAAUUUCGUCAUUAUCAUUUGGAGCCCUAUUAUCCAAAUCUUACAAUGAAGCCUAUGAAUUUUUGGAGAGAAUUGCUAACAAUAACUACCAGUGGCCAUCAACUAGACAAAUUGUAGCAAGAGGAGUAGCAGAGGUACAUAAUAUAGAUGCAAUUACAACACUAUCAGCUCAAGUAACAUCAUUGACUAACAUGGUAAAAGCCAUGACUUCUACUCCUGCAGCAGUAAAGCAAGUUGCUGAACUAUCUUGUGUGUAUUGUGGUGAGGAGCAUGUAUUUGACAACUGUCUAGGAAAUCCAGCAUCAGUAAACUAUGUGGGCAACACCCAAAUUUCUCAUGAAGCAAUCAAAAUUAGCAUGCUCCAGCACCCAGUGGACAGAACAGACAUGCUCAGCCACCUAGUUUUCAUCAGCAGAAUCAAGGGCAAAAACACACUAGCCAUGAUCAAAUCACCUCAUUAGAAACACUUAUUAAGGAAUAUAUCGUGAAAAAUGAAGCAAUUGUGCAAAGUCAAACUGUAUCUCUGAGAAACCUGGAAAACCAAAUUGGAUAGCUUGCCACAGUAAUGAGUAGCAGAUCUCAGGGAAGUUUACCCAGCAAUACAGAAGAUCCAAGAAGAGAGGGUAAAGAACACUGUAAAGUAAUCAACUUAAGAUCUGAGAAGAAUGUUGAUAUUCAUGUUGAUGUGACUUGGAAUUUAACUCCUCACAAGAACCACCUCAAGAUGAAAGGAUGUUACAGCAACCUAGCCAUCAAGAUACUGGUACUAGUGGUCAAGCUACAGCAACCUUGGAAGGAAAUCACCCAAUAACUCCUGAAGAAGAUGUUGCAACACCAGUGGUGAAAACUUACAAUAAAUCAAAGGAGUAAAGAUUGGUACCUCCUGAAGCUGUACAACAAUUUAGGCAUCAAUCUCCUUUCCCACAGAGAUUCCAGAAACAAAAACAAGACAAACAAUUUAGCAAAUUCCUGGAAGUGCUAAAGCAAUUACACAUCAACAUACCUUUUGUGGAAGCAUUGGAACAAAUGCCUAAUUAUGUGAAAUUUUUAAAAGAUAUUUUGGCUAGAAAAAAAAGGUUCAGAGAAUUUGAAACUGUUGCUUUAACAUAGGAAUGCAGUCACAUGCUUCAUAGUAAGAUUCCUUAAAAACUGAAGGAUCCAGGAAGCUUCACAAUACUAUGUUCAAUUGGAACUGGGUAUAAUGGCAGAGCACUCUGUGACUUGGGAGCCAGCAUUAAUCUAACGCCAUUAUUUGUAUUUAAGCAAUUGGGAAUAGGAGAGUGCAGGCCAACAAUAGUCACUAUGCAAUUGGCUGACAUAUCUCAUGCAUACCCUGAAGGAAAGAUUGAAGAAGUAUUGGUGAAGGUUGACAAAUUCAUUUUUCCAGUAGAUUUCAUUGUACUAGACUUUGAGGCUGAUAAAGAGGUACCAAUUAUACUUGGAAGACCUUUCCUGACAACCGGGAAAACUCUUAUAGAUGUGCAGAAAAGAGAGCUAACCAUGAGAGUGAAUGACCAAUAAGUCACCUUUAAUGUAUUAGAAGCUAUAAAGAGUCCUGAUGAGGUAGAAGAUUGCAAUUUUUUUAGUGUUGUGGACCUUACUGUAGCAGAC
rnacentral:lncRNA from 1 species